rnacentral:misc_RNA from 1 species
UAAUAAUCGAAUAUCGAUAAACAGGUUCAUUUCUAGGCUAUUCAAAUUUUACUAAUAUUCAGUGCUUUGGUGUUUUUAAUAAAUAUGGAUCUAAAAAACAAAGCGAGGAGAAGCACGCUAAGGAAUUCGGACUCCACAUCAAAUCCUCGAAUAGAACCCAAUGCAGUCUCUACUUCAAAACCAAAACGUCGGAUAAGUUUUAGUGGAAGGAAGUCUGUUAGAGAAUUCCAUGCAGAGGAAAAGCCCAAAAGUUGGAACAAUUCGUAUGAAAUAUCAGACCACCUUAACUCGUUAGAAAAUAUAUCAACUGGAAGCUUUGGCGGAGACAAUUUUAUACCUUGCCAUACUCAGUACAAAUUACCAGAUUGUAAGGAAAAUUACAGUUUCUCUAAAAAUAAGAGGCUUAUAAAUGGUCGCCCGCUAAGUGAGAAUCAAAAUAAUGUUGCUUUGGCCUUCGAAAUGGAAACGAAAAAUCAUGAUGGAGAGCAUGGAGCUUUUUCAUAUAAAUUCGCCAAGGAUAAUAAUAUGAUUGUUGAAAUAUUUUGUGGUGAAGAGAAAUGCAAGUAGAGCAGCUGUGAUGGGGUCUGAAUCCAGAUUGAAAUGGGGAUAUAAGGUUGAAUUUACCGAUGUGGGAAGAGAUUUGUUCAGAUAACAAAGAUUCGAAAACUUUAGACAAGGCUGGUAGUAUGCUGAUGGGUCGGAAAUCACUAGGGCUGGAUGCGGAUUUAUUUUUGGCUACAGGAAGCACAGUAGCAAUCUUCCAGGCAUCGGGAAAACAGGACGUGAUUUCACCACAUCAAUCUCGCUCACAGCAAUGAACUCAAACUUUUCGCCAGCAAAAGAGACCGGACAGGAGGCUACAGAGUUGGUCGUAAGGGGACAAGAUGAAGGCGGAGAAGCAAAGGCAACGCUAAGCGUUUCAGGACUCAACGAGCAUUCUGAUUUCUCACUGGCAUGGACGCGGAGUGUUCUCAGAUUUCGCCACAAUACAUUAUUAGGCAGUGAGGGAUCCAGCUUAUUCAUAAAGAAUUUUUUCUUUUCACGUCUUAUAACCGAGGUAGCUUCAUUCCUUAUUGUUUUGAAAGCACUCCAGUUCUCAUCUGUCGGGUUCCUUUUCCAUAUGUUAUAAUAUUUAUUGCGUUUUUUAAUCACUGAUAGGACCACACCAUUAAACCAACGGCAGGAAGAAGACCUGUCACAGGUUCGGGUAGGGACAUGAGUGAGGAGCGAAUUUAAUAUAUUUUCGUUUAGGAAACGGAGCUUCUCAUUGACCGUGCUGAGACCCCAGCAAACAGACCAAUCGAUCUGCAAGAGGCUACUGAAAAGGUUGUUGACAUCUAAGGAACGGUAGUCAAAGAAGUUAAAUACAUAGGUAUUGUCGUCAUAGUGAUCAAGUUUAACGUCAAAAGAACAAAAUAUCAAGUCAUGAUCAGAUAUAAAAGAUAUUUGGUCAAAUUUCAAAACAAUAGAAGGAUCAGAUACAGCAAAGUAAUCUAAUAAGCUGGGACAGCAAUUGCUACCAUAUCUUGUGGGCACCGACAAAUUAACCAUAGACAACCCAACACAGGAGAUAUCAUCUAUUAAACGAGCACUGGUAGAAUCAGGACAUAACAGGUUCACAUUAAAAUCACCACAAAGAAUUAUAUGGUCAUAAUCUACAGAAACAGUGGACAGAAAAUUAAAAAAGUCACAUAGGCUGAAAUACUUAUAGGGAUUAUACACACAAGACAAUAGGAUUUUGGACGAGGGGCUAGACAUUUCGACAGACAGGUACUCCACGCAACUUCUUUCUGAAUGUGACUGCGAAACCUGUUUGGUUUUUAGGUGCUUUUUGCAGUAAAUAGCAACUCCACCACCUUUUCUAUCUACCCUAUCAGAACGAAACAACUUAUAACCAUUAAUAUCAUAAUGGACACUGCUUACAUUGUACCUGAACCACGUCUCAGAUACACAUAUAACAUCGACUGGAGACAAUUCAAAAGUGUUCCUUACUAUAUCCAUUUUCUCAGAAUUAAGACUGCGCGCAUUAAAAUGAACAAUGUUCAAACCCGUUUGUUGACCGCACUUGAUGUUCACCAUUGCACGACUACAAUUGUCAAUGUUAGCCGUUUUGCUGCUGGGUACAACCAUGAUAUUUUACGCGUAUAAACAAAAGCAACUUUAAAGCAUAAGGGAUAACAAUAUUAAGAACAAACAAACAUAAACUGAGAUGUGCCAACUUUACAACAAUGAAUACAUAACAGAGGGAACAUAAAAACAAAAUCUUAUACCUAACGAAAGCGCGCUAAAUCAUCUUCGCAGGUUAAUUUGAUAGCGGGGCUAUUUUUGUCUUUUUCAUUUCUUACGUGCACCUCGCCUCGCAUUGUGUAUACCGAUACCAGCUUACCCUCUCUGCGUAGCUUGAUAGCCUCUUGUAGUAAGCGCCUUUUCUCUUGAGUGAGACUCUCAAAUAUGUGGAAAAUUCCAUCCAUUCCAAUGGAGCUUAAUGACACUGCAGAUCUAACUCGCCUGCGAUACUCCCCAAAAGCGCGAAGGGUGCGAUUGCGAUCAUGCGGGGAGUGAAAUUUAACGACAAUCACGCCGUUGCGGUUGGCAGUGGGGCGCGUUCGGAAGAUGUCGCGAAUUUGUGGAGACAUGAAAUCGAUGGAGAGACAAAUCUGGUUAAAUAUGCUCUUUAGGUUCUCCCCAUCCGCAUAAGGCACACCAAACACAACAGCAUCAGCAGAAAUAUCAGGAGUAGGUUUUUGUUGUAGUGCACUAGAAACUUGCUGUUGUAGGUAGGCAAUAUCGCUUUCAGCCUUCUUCAUAUUAGCUUCCAUCAAAGUUAAGCGCGUAGUCGUCUCGGCCACUUUCUCAGUAAACAUAGCUAUCUCAUCAUCUAUUCGCUUUGUUAAUUUGUUCUCCAGCUCUGACAAUUUCUGAGAGACAUUCUCAACUAGCGGCAGCAGAUUGUCCGUUUGUUGCUGUAUUUUCACUUCGAGUUGCUUUAGUUUUGCAAAGACAGCAAUAAGGGUGAUGUCUUCAUCCAGCUUUACCACUUUAGCAGCAGGGGACUCCUGUCCCCGCAGGGGACGUUUGUUCGCUGCAGAAGAGGUCGAUGCACGAACAGACAUAGCGAAAACAAAAA